CAAAGGUGGAAUAUGGAGGAGUCACAAAGUAUAUAAAAGUUCCACAAACAGAUGAAAACUUUGAUUUUAGCCAGUUUCUUCAAGAAGGUUUUAUGCUGCACCAGAUUGGGGGGGAUCAACUUGUGACUGUCCUUAGCUUGACUGACACAUCAGAUACUGAGGUUGACGCAGACAUAUUUGAUGAGCUUAUCAAAUCAGGGGUGCGAAACUUCAAAGUUGGAUACCGCAAGCACCCAG